UACGGAGGGUGCGAGCGUUGUCCGGAAUCACUGGGCGUAAAGGGCGCGUAGGCGGCCGAGCAAGGUCGCGGUGAAAGCCCGGGGCUCAACCCCGGGUCGGCCGUGGCAACUACUCGGCUCGAGCACUGUAGGGGCGGGUGGAAUUCCGGGUGUAGCGGUGGAAUGCGUAGAGAUCCGGAAGAACACCCGUGGCGAAAGCGGCUCUCUGGAACGGUACUGACGCUGAGACGCGAAAGCGUGGGGAGCGAACAGG
rnacentral:rRNA from 1 species